AGGACACGCUGGCGGCGUGCCUAAUACAUGCAAGUCGAACGGUCUUUCUAUGGAAGCUUGCUUCCACUGAGAAGAUAGUGGCGAACGGGUGAGUAACACGUGGGUAACCUGCCCAUAAGGAGGGGGAUAACAUCCGGAAACGGGUGCUAAUACCGCAUAGUUUUCUUGAUUGCAUGAUUGAGAAAGGAAAGACGGCCUUUGUGCUGUCGCUUAUGGAUGGACCCGCGGCGUAUUAGUUAGUUGGUGAGGUAACGGCUCACCAAGACGAUGAUACGUAGCCGACCUGAGAGGGUGAUCGGCCACAUUGGGACUGAGACACGGCCCAAACUCCUACGGGAGGCAGCAGUAGGGAAUCUUCCGCAAUGGACGAAAGUCUGACGGAGCAACGCCGCGUGAGUGAAAGAAGGUUUUCGGAUCGUAAAACUCUGUUGUCAGAGAAGAACAAGUUGGAGAGUAACUGCUCCAGCCUUGACGGUAUCUGACCAGAAAGCCACGGCUAACUACGUGCCAGCCGCCGC
rnacentral:rRNA from 1 species